GACGAACGCUGGCGGCGUGCUUAACACAUGCAAGUCGAACGGUAAGGCCCUUCGGGGUACACGAGUGGCGAACGGGUGAGUAACACGUGGGUGAUCUGCCCUGCACUUCGGGAUAAGCCUGGGAAACUGGGUCUAAUACCGGAUAGGACCACUGCCUGCAUGGGUGGUGGUGGAAAGCUUUUGCGGUGUGGGAUGGGCCCGCGGCCUAUCAGCGUGUUGGUGGGGUGAUGGCCUACCAAGGCGACGACGGGUAGCCGGCCUGAGAGGGUGACCUGCCACGCUGGGACUGAGAUACGGCCCAGGCUCCUACGGGAGGCAGCUGUGGGGAAUAUUGCACAAUGGGCGCAAGCCUGAUGCAGCGACGCCGCGUGAGGGAUGACGGCCUUCGGGUUGUAAACCUCUUUCAGCACCGACGAAGCGCAAGUGACGGUAGGUGCAGAAGAAGGACCGGCCAACUACGUGCCAGCCGCCGCAGUAA
rnacentral:rRNA from 1 species